rnacentral:lncRNA from 1 species
CCUCCAGCCUCCAGUAUGUGGAGUCCUGUCCAGUUCCUUGGCGUGAGGCACACGAGAGCCAUGUCCCUCUUCUGGAGGGAGAAAGUGGAUGAAUAAGAAGUAAGAUUGACCUUUAACCUUAAAAAUGCCUCUACAAAUAUUCCCGAUGACUCAACACCCAGGGCUGUAGCUCCUGAGUCUUUGUAGGUAACAUGCUCGUCCUUAAAACUGAAGUGAAUUAUAGCUAGCUCUCCAGCUUACCAAAACAAAUAGACUGCAACGUCGAACUGCAGUCGAUUGUUUGCAAAUGAAUACUAUAUUGGAGAGAACCCAUCCGUCUCCACUUCCCUGAGACUCGCUGAUAAACCAUAAAUCCAUUAGGAGAGUCUUUCCUGCGCCAUUUACAGCCGCGGAUCUGCAGUGUUGGGGGACAGCGCUCCCGAGGACGUGAUUCAUGUGGGGUAUAUCAACAGGGGACAGCCGUCUUCAAGUUCCAUUUUAAUUUCCUUAUGAUCUUGGUAAUAUUUAUUGUACAAACAAACAGAAACCUGUGCAUAUUUAUGGGAAGUGGUGGAGCUUUUCAUAUGAGCGUCUGCAUAAAUCCACGCACGCCGAAAGGAAGGAGAUGGGCAGAGUCCGGCUAGGCAGGGAUCUGAGACAUAACUUUCAAUUAAAACGGAGUUGAGCAGGGCAGGAUUACAAUCAUUGCUCAUUUUUACAUCAACUCCAGAGGCAGGUAGGGGAGUUAAGCUCCCAUUCACGGUCUCAUCAGGCUCUUUGCUCAAAGACUCACAGGCGCAUCUGUUUGGGGAUUUUAAGGGAAGCAUGUCUUUCCAGGAGCCCUUUGUUUCCAGGGACCAUUGAGCACAGAAGGUGGCGUCACUGGAAGAGCUUGUGCAGUCCUCCUGCCGGGAUGAUGGCCCAGUUCCGCCCUGCGUGGCUGCGUGGACCCUCUUCUGCAAAGCAAGUGACGGUGAGUCUCGCACAGUCAUCUCGCAGACAGCAGCAGCGGACAUGCAGUCAGGACAAAGGACCGCGUGAGGAAGCUUCCGUCAGCCUCAACCUGGUCUGCGCACCUGGAGAGUGGAUAUAUUUGCUUCCCUGGCAAACACGUGCGACCUUCACAAAGCUCUGAGGAGGAGACGGGACUGUGCGGACCCUGUGCAUGCAGGUUGAGUUCCUCGGACGAUAUCCUGUUAUCUGACAGCACGCUUUUGAUGAAAUAAAGUAUACGAUGCUUUGCA